rnacentral:rRNA from 1 species
GACGAACGCUGGCGGCGUGCUUAACACAUGCAAGUCGAACGGAAAGGCCCCUUUGGGGGUCCUCGAGUGGCGAACGGGUGAGUAACACGUGAGUAACCUGCCCUUGACUUCGGGAUAACUUCAGGAAACUGGGGCUAAUACCGGAUAGGAAUCCUUGCUGCAUGGUGGGGGUUGGAAAGCUUCGGCGGUUUUGGAUGGACUCGCGGCUUAUCAGCUUGUUGGUAGGGUAGUGGCUUACCAAGGCUUUGACGGGUAGCCGGCCUGAGAGGGCGACCGGCCACAUUGGGACUGAGAUACGGCCCAGACUCCGACGGGAGGCAGCAGUGGGGAAUAUUGCACAAUGGGCGGAAGCCUGAUGCAGCAACGCCGCGUGCGGGAUGACGGCCUUCGGGUUGGAAACCGCUUUCAGCAGGGGCGAAGCUUGUGGUGACGGUACCUGCAGAAGAAGCACCGGCUAACUACGUG